rnacentral:rRNA from 1 species
AAUAGAUACCCUGGUAGUCCACGCCGUAAACGAUGUCGACUAGCCGUUGGGGACCUUCGUGUCCUUGGUGGCGUAGCUAACGCGCUAAGUCGACCGCCUGGGGAGUACGGUCGCAAGAUUAAAACUCAAAUGAAUUGACGGGGGCCCGCACAAGCGGUGGAGCAUGUGGUUUAAUUCGACGCAACGCGAAGAACCUUACCAGGUCUUGACAUCCAGAGAACUUUCCAGAGAUGGAUUGGUGCCUUCGGGAACUCUGAGACAGGUGCUGCAUAGCUGUCGUCAGCUCGUGUCGUGAGAUGUUGGGUUAAGUCCCGUAACGAGCGCAACCCUUAUCCUUAUUUGCCAGCACGUCAUGGUGGGAACUUUAAGGAGACUGCCGGUGACAAACCGGAGGAAGGUGGGGAUGACGUCAAGUCAUCAUGGCCCUUACGACCUGGGCUACACACGUGCUACAAUGGAACGUACAGAGGGCUGCAACCCCGCGAGGGUGAGCUAAUCCCAGAAAGCGUUUCGUAGUCCGGAUUGGAGUCUGCAACUCGACUCC